rnacentral:ncRNA from 1 species
UUCUUAUCCAGAGAGGUGGAGGGACUGGCCCUGUGAAGCCUCGGCAACAGACUCCCUGUUAGUACUGUGCCAAUUCCAGUAAGCGUCAUGCUUUAAGAUAAGAA